GAACCAUUACAUACAAGGUAUGCAGAGGUGCAGUUUUUCAGGGUAGGUCCACAGUUAGAGCCCAGGCAUGCUGUAUUGCAUAAGGGACAGUGAUUCAGCAGUAAUGAUAAUAUCUGCUAUAUGUUCAGAGACUGGUGAACUUUUAUUGCUUUCCUCCAAAUGUGUUUCUCUAUUUGGUGCUACUUGGAGCAGGAGGCUGGAGCAAAACAACCAGUUUGAAGCUGUUGAAAAUGCGUACAGUGUCCACAAUCUGAAAACGUAAACCACCAGGUGCCACUGAGAAAGAGAUGGAGGAAAACACAUUUCCAGCUUCAGCCAGAAAGAAGCAGCAGGGACAGCACUGCAAGAAAUCUUCCAAAGCAUGCAAAAUUUUCGAUGAAUUGAGAAAUGAAGAUAUUGGAGUCACAGAACUUCCAGAACAUCGGAAAUCCAGUGCCAGUGCUUUAGCCCAACGAGAAACAAAGCCUGUGCCUCUGAGUCUUCAAGAGGUGGCUCUGAAGCAUCCAGUGCUGG